rnacentral:rRNA from 1 species
UGCGUAGACGGUUUCGUAAGUCGGAUGUGAAAUCCCCGGGCUCAACCUGGGAAUUGCAUUCGAGACUGCGAGGCUAGGGUGCGGAAGAGGGUAGCGGAAUUUCCGGUGUAGCGGUGAAAUGCGUAGAUAUCGGAAGGAACAUCAGUGGCGAAAGCGGCUUCCUGGUCCAGCACCGACGUUCAGGCACGAAAGCGUGGGGAGCAAACAGGAUUAGAUACCCUGGUAGUCCACGCCAUAAACGAUGAGAACUAGACGUUGAGAGGGUAAGCCUCCCAGUGUCGCAGCUAACGCGCUAAGUUCUCCGCCUGGGGAGUACGGCCGCAAGGUUGAA